UACAGAGGUCUCAAGCGUUGUUCGGAUUCAUUGGGCGUAAAGCGCGCGUAGGCGGUUACGCAAGUCGGUUGUGAAAUCCGGGCUCAACCCCGGACCUGCAUCCGAUACUGCGUGACUAGAGGUAGGUAGGGGAGAUCGGAAUUCCUGGUGUAGCGGUGAAAUGCGCAGAUAUCAGGAAGAACACCCGUGGCGAAGGCGGCUCUCUGGACGGUACUGACGCUGAGACGCGAAAGCGUGGGAGCGAACAGG
rnacentral:rRNA from 1 species